UUAGAUUUUUCAAAAACGAUGAAGAGGAAGACAAAGAGGUUAAAAGAUCCGAUGGUUAUCCGAUAGUGAUAUGGGUUUUCGGAUAUAGACUGGUUGGAUCUGUAAUUGUUUUAUUUUAGUGAGGAUAAGGUUGUAUUUUAACCAAUUUUCGAUUUUUUUAAUUAUUUUUUUUUUUUUCAUUUUGGUCAAACCCUUAUGAGAAUAGAAAAAGGAGUCAAAGGGUACAAGAGAUUUUAGUCCACAAAAAAAUUGAAGAGUCUUAAAUAUUACACAACAUAUUGAAUCAUAUUGUACAUGUUACACUACAACUUAUAUAGCAAACUUAUCAUUAUCAUGUGAAAUAAUUUGUUAUCAUGUUAAAUUAUACCGUUAAAGUAAAAA
rnacentral:lncRNA from 1 species